rnacentral:rRNA from 1 species
UACGGAGGAUCCAAGCGUUAUCCGGAAUCAUUGGGUUUAAAGGGUCCGUAGGCGGCUUUAUAAGUCAGUGGUGAAAUCUCACGGCUCAACCGUGAAAUGGCCAUUGAUACUGUAGGGCUUGAAUUACCAGGAAGUAACUAGAAUAUGUAGUGUAGCGGUGAAAUGCUUAGAUAUUACAUGGAAUACCGAUUGCGAAGGCAGGUUACUACUGGUGGAUUGACGCUGAUGGACGAAAGCGUGGGUAGCGAACAGG